AGAUGUGAGGGUAGGAGAGAUGGAAGGUGCGAGGAUGAGAGACUUGGAGAGAGAACUCGGCCUGUGUGGUUUGGAGAGGAUCGCAGCCCGCCCUUGUUGGAAACUGCGGAUAAACCUCGUAAUUUUUUCAUCACACUCCGUCUCGAAGCAAUCCUGAAACCGAAUCACCCUCAAGCGAUCGAUCUUUCUUCCUCUCGAUCUAUCUUCGAUCGCAUUGAUCUCUUGUAUCAUUGCCUCGGUCGAUCAGGGUUUUCGGAUCUGGGCUUCGUUGCGUGGAAAGAUGGCGGAGAUACGAUUGCCUUUUCAAGUACAUCAUCAUCGGCGAUACAGAUCGUUUUCUGCUCGGUACGCGAGAGUCGUCUCCUGAGUCAGUUCUUUCGGUGAGUUGUACUACCGGAAACAAUGAUUCCCUCUUUCUUGAUUCUGGAUUUCUUCAAGGAUACAUCUCUGCUAGUGUCUUGUUGGUAGGAUACGUAGGACAAGAUUAAUCAAUUUGAUCUGGGAUUAUGGUCUUAGAAUUUGUGCAUCAAUCUGUAAUGCGCAUUUCCUGCUUCAAUGCCUACUGCUAAAAUUUAGUUGCUUGACGCGAAGAUACUAUUUCAUUGGAUGAACCAGCCAGCAAAAUGAAUGACAAGCAUUUGACGCAAAGCUUUAUAGACUGGACAAGGAUCUUUCACAUCAAUCACCAUAUCUUAUAUAAGGUGAUUCUGGUGCAUUGCUUGUCCAUGACAUCACCAGGAGGGAGACAUUCAAUCAUCUCGAAAGCCGGCUGGAAGAUGCUCAAUCAUGUUCACAGAAGCUGCAGCACUGAGGAGGGAUAACAAUUUGCCAAAGAGCCUGGCUUGAUCUUUAUGGAAGCCUCGGUAGGAAUUGCACCCGAUGUAGAGGAGGUAUCUGACAGUUGUUGACCGGCACUGGAACCAUUGACUUCACUUGUUUGGCUCAUCCUCUCCACCUUCUCUUCUCUAUUAGCAUGGGCUAAGAUUCCUGCAUAACUGCAUAACCAAUGGUUUGAUCAAUCAUCAACCACAUACUUCCUGACAACAGUGUGGAUUGGGUGGCUGUACUCGAGUUGAGUUGUUCGAUGGACGCUGCUGAAUAAAGAAAAGGAUGUGGAAGAGCCUACCUUUGUGAAAUAUCAUUAUUAUUAUACACAAGCUAUCAUCCAUCAGAGAUCUAAGAAAUAAGAAGAAUCCGUUCUUCAGAAAGCAGGAGGGGCGCCGCCAGGGAAGAAGAGCUGCCUACCGGGGAAGCCGCCUCCCUGUGGCGUGUCGUCGUGCAAGGCGUUGCUGAUCUUGUGGAAACCGUG